UAGAGUGGCUUGUCCUCCGUGCCGCGUGCCCGCGCGCCCGCGCCUGCCCCGGUGCCCGCGGGGGCCGCACGCUUCUGUACAACCGCGUAAGUGUCGGCCAUGGAGAGGGCCGGAGGCCCGGGCACCGAGAUGCUUCUGCGGGUGGGGAGGGCGGGGAGGAAGUGAAACUGCAGCGCCUAGGCGGGGGAAGGAGGGAGCAGCUCGCUGGGCGAGCAAACCACGGGCUUCCUUCCCGCCCGAGGCGGCUUGCAGUGAAAGAGCACUGAGAUGGAGGCGGUUGGUCUCCGGAGAAGGGGGUCUCGUUUCUGUGUCCCUAGGGCCCAGCAGGUUCGGUGGAUGAAGGAAGGAAGGGCCCAGCUGGCAGGUGAAUGGGGGGAGGUGUUAUAGAGGAGUGGUCUUUUCUGUGUAGUUGUUUAUUGAAUAAAUGAAUGAGGAAGUGACAUCUAAAGGGAAGGAAGGGAAGGUCUCAAAAUGGGAGAGCUGGUCUCAGACCAAGGGCUGAAGUUGCCGCACCAGAUAUGGGGCCUGACAGUUGGGCAGCAUCAAGAAAUAUCUGCUGAAUUAAUGACUUGGGGGGAAUGAGGAAAGUACUGACACCAGAAUGUAGGGGUAGGGGCAGAGGCAGUGUCACCUCUGGUAUUAAAGAAUCAUCUUCGGAAAGGUUCCCAGAGCUCAGUUCAACAAAAGGGCUGGUGGAUAUUUGGUGAACUGAACGACAAGGAUGGCACCAGUUUCAAAGAGGCCGCUGCUUCCGAAUCUCAAGGACCACACUGAAGAGGCUGAAGUUAGGUGGGAUCAUCUAGGGCAGAGAGACGGGCACAUGAGAAAGACCUCGUGGGCACAGGAAGCACACUUCACACGCAUGCCCUCUUCAUACCUGGGUCAGAAGCAACUGUCUCACAUAAUCCACAGUGCACAGGACACCUGUUCGCCCGCAGCCAGCACUGACAAGUAAGAAUCAGAAUGAGCUCAACCAGGGCCUUCCUGCAACCCGUUUUAAAGGGGACAUUUGGGGUGGGGGGGGUGAAGGGCUUAAUUAAUGGAGGGGCCCCUGCAGCACUUUUUGGUUCCCAGUAUCCCAGGUUAUAAUUUGAAAGGAAAAACUUUUUAACUGCUGAUAUUUGUUUAGCAUCAGCUGUGUACUUAUUCCCCAGCAGACAGUCUGUGCUCAAUAAAUACUGACAAUUUCAGUUGCAACUUUAG